rnacentral:rRNA from 1 species
AGCGAACGCUGGCGGCAGGCCUAACACAUGCAAGUCGAACGAAGCCUUCGGGCUUAGUGGCGGACGGGUGAGUAACACGUGGGAACGUACCUUUUGGUUCGGAACAACUCAGGGAAACUUGAGCUAAUACCGGAUGAGCCCUUAGGGGGAAAGAUUUAUCGCCGAAAGAGCGGCCCGCGUUAGAUUAGCUAGUUGGUGAGGUAAAGGCUCACCAAGGCUACGAUCUAUAGCUGGUCUGAGAGGAUGAUCAGCCACACUGGGACUGAGACACGGCCCAGACUCCUACGGGAGGCAGCAGUGGGGAAUCUUGCGCAAUGGGCGAAAGCCUGACGCAGCCAUGCCGCGUGAAUGAUGAAGGUCUUAGGAUUGUAAAAUUCUUUUACCAGGGACGAUAAUGACGGUACCUGGAGAAAAAGCCCCGGCUAACUUCGUGCCAGCCGCCGCGGUAACAC